AUUGAUUCAUUAUUUAAAAUAAAGGCAACACACAUCAGCAAGUGCUGGAUGUGUUUUCUGAGCACCUUUUAUAUCAUUCCCUAUGUGAGCAUCUUCUCUCUGAGCCUUCUUUGCCAGCCUUGCUCCUGUGCAGCGCACACCUAAGCACCCCGCUUCCUCUCCUUCCCUUCACCUCAGCGACAUCAGAAAGCAAGACAAGACCCACACACUCUAGACCCCACCUCAGUCCCUACUGAAUGUGGGGCUUCUCCUCCUUAGCAUGUUUACACUCCAUGUGUUUAGGGUCAUUUUUCUCACAUUGUCUUGUGUUUCUCUCCUGCUUGGUCUCUGUUUCCUUUGUCUUUGAGCCUGGGAGGUUUCAUAAAGAGACAGGUCUCGGGAGGAGCUACAAAGAUGCUUGUAUUUCUCAGAGGAAAGCAGGCCACGGGGCUCGCUGUGAUAACGCAUCUAGACUGGCCGACUUUACUUUUUGUCUUUCUGGCAGUUUCUGCUCUUCGUUUCUUCGUUUCAUUUAUAUCAGUGUGAAGGAUGCAUAUAUCUCCAUCCUUGUUUCCACAGCCACGAAGAAAUAUGACAGGGUCCAAAACAAAGGUAAGAGAUUUAUGGACCCUGCGAGAUUCCCAAUUAAUAGAAACCAUUGGGACCAUGGCAGCCUUCUGCUUCUGGGGCCUCUAAAUGCAGCACUCCCGUCCCAUAAAGCAGAGUGGUUGACACUGGAAAUAAAACAUCUACCCUGGUGCUCAGGCAACGCUUUAUAUGCAUUCCAGAGCCAUGCUCUGUGUUUAAACCCCAGCUUUUUAGUAUAAUUUUAGCGUUGGAACUUAACGUUUUUACUGCCUCUUCUCCAAAUAAUCAAUAUUGAUUUUACUCGAUCUGUUAUCAUCCUGACAUCAAGAUUUAUUUCCCAGCUUCACUCUGCAUGAGACUGUACUUCACAGAAGGCACAUUUAUUCCCUUCCUUUGGGAAGGCUCCUGGGGUAAUUAUCUUGCUCCAUUGGCAAAUCAUUCAGCUUAUGUUGUAUUGAAAAAUAAUAAUUGGCUUUGUCCCUCAUCAGGUUUGAACAGCUUUAUUAUCAUUAUAUUUGCUGGUAUGUUGUGAUAACAUCUUUGCAGAGUUUGGAACUGUUCAGAGCCAAGAAGCCAAGGCUCACGGCAGCAGGUCUUCAUUCCCGAUGUCCUCAGAACUUCAUUGACUGGACAGUACAAAGCUCAUAGGGGGCCUGCAAAGCAUUUUCUACCAUGGCUUUUGCCUGUGUUGCAGAUACAGGAGCCUGCGAUAGAUCUAGAUUUAAGGUUGGCCAGGGCAGUCUGUGUGAUAUGAGCAAGGGAGUGGUUAUGAAGGGACGGCCCCAGUGGAACUCACCUUUCAUAUACUGUUGUCCUUUAUCUGUGUUUUGUUUUCUGCAGAUUCUAUCACCCACAGUCUAGUGCAAUCUAAACAUGUACAAUAGAAAAUUCUGAAAGGAUAUUGUUCUUACAUGAGAUAGUGACUAGCAUGAUUAACAGAAAAUUCUAAAAAGAAAUAAUCCUUACCUUUGAAACCUAAUAACAAGAUGAAACUACCUGCCAUCUUUCUCCUCCCACUCAGGAGUCUACCGCAGGGACAGCAGCAUACUACUAGGCCGAGGAGAAGACAUGAAACGAAAAAUGUUAAUAAAAGAGAGUUGUGGUGAACAGCAGAGUGAAAUUUUGGAGCUGAGAAAUAUCAGAAGGUGCCAAGCAGCUCCCAAAGGAGUAGCAAGAGGCAUGGGACAAGAAAGGCUGCCACUCAGAACUGCAGUCUCUGAACCCACCGAUGUCGAUUGGAAAGGUCGGUCCAGCUCUGGCAGUCGGAAUCUUCAAGAAGCUGAACUCCAAGUGCCAGGUCUAAAGGACAACACCAGGAAGUCACUUGAGCCUGUCUUUUCACUUAAGCAUGAAUUGUAAGAGCUGUUCACGGUCAUUGUGUUUGCCAGUAAGAGAAAGGUGCCAGCUUGCAGCCAAGGAAUAGUAGGACGCGGGGACAAGGAAAGCUGGCAGUCUUUCAAGUCUUCGGAUGCUCUUCCCAAGAUCUGGCUGAAUUUCCAGUUCUGAACACUGCCCUGGUCCUCAGAUCUGUGGAUUCCAUUGGAAAUGCCGGAGAACUCCCUGCAAGGGCCAUUCUUCUCUACCCAAUUCACAGGCUCCUUUUCAUCUAACAAAAGUAGUUUUAACCAUUUUAACAAGGAGCAGAAGAUGGUUUGAGUUGGACUCUAUGGCCUCCAGCUAGCGCUACAGGUCCUAAGACAUGGCCAGGUUUCUCUUCAGCAGUAUCAAGUCUCACAUCUGAAUUCUGCAGGAGCUGCAUAAGGAAUCCCCAUGGAAUUCAUUAUUUUACUAAUAUUUAUUGAGUGCCUAUUAUGUGACAGGCACUAGGUUUUGUGCUGGGAAUUUAAUGAAGAGUAAAACAAACUACUUGCCAAGCCAUGAUAUUUUAAAUUCAUUUUCAUUCUAGAAUUCUCAGUAGGAAGGGUUCACUCCAAGGGAACAUUCCACUCAUUCCUAUACCCCUGCCAGAGAAGAGCAUUUGCAAAGCCUAGAUUCUCUCCCUCUGUGUAAGUUUUAACAUGGCUGGCAUACUUAAGCCACACAGAGAACAGGGGGCUGCCAGUGGCAUUGAUAGAAGGAUACCUCCAGAGCCUCUUUUCUAUCACUACAUCUGGGACCUGACUUUCCCUGGAUUCCCACAGGCAGUUAUAGGAAAUAAAUACAAGUCAAGUUAAACCAUUUCUAAUGAGUUGCCUAGGAGCAUAAGAAGAAUGGCCUCACUACCUGUUCUUCCCCCCACCUACCCAGCUCCGGGAACACAGAGGAUUUCCUCAUCGUUUAAUAAACACUUCCCGGGGACUUCUGUGUCUUCUCUUCCUGAAGCAAAGACUCCCCUAAGUCUCAUCUCUUCCAAGUCUCUUUUACUGAAGCUGGAGAUUCGGUGGUAAAUGAUCCAGACAAAAAGUCCUUUGUCAUGGCAAGAUAAAAACAGAAGCAAACUAUGAGUCUCAUAAGGUCAGGUUAUGAAUAGAACUGAGAAGAGCAAGUGCACUGCAGUAAAAGGAUAGAGGUGGACCAAGAUAGGUAAGCAAAGGUCUCACUGAGCAGUAGCCUGCGAAUGCAUGACUAAUGAAGAACAUGAGACCUUUUGUGAGUGACCCUAGAAUAAUUCAGUCCAUACAUAUAACUUACACUGGAAAAAAAUUU
rnacentral:sRNA from 1 species